AAUCAACGCUGGCGGCGUGCCUAACACAUGCAAGUCGAACGAGAAAGUGGUAGCAAUACCAUGAGUAAAGUGGCGCACGGGUGAGUAACACGUGACUAACCUACCCUUGAGUGGGGGAUAACUGAGGGAAACCUUAGCUAAUACCGCAUAAUACCCACGGGUCAAAGGAGCAAUUCGCUCGGGGAGGGGGUCGCGGCCGAUUAGUUAGUUGGCGGGGUAAUGGCCCACCAAGACGAUGAUCGGUAUCCGGCCUGAGAGGGCGCACGGACACACUGGAACUGAAACACGGUCCAGACUCCUACGGGAGGCAGCAGUGGGGAAUUUUGCGCAAUGGGGGAAACCCUGACGCAGCAACGCCGCGUGGAGGAUGAAGUCCUUCGGGACGUAAACUCCUUUCGAUCGGGACGAUUAUGACGGUACCGGAAGAAGAAGCCCCGGCUAACUUCGUGCCAGCAGCCGCGGUAAUACGAGGGGGGCGAGCGUUGUUCGGAAUUAUUGGGCGUAAAGGGUGCGUAGGCGGUUUGGUAAGUCUUUUGUGAAAUCUCUGGGCUCAACUCAGAGUCCGCAGGAGAAACUGCCG
rnacentral:rRNA from 1 species